UACGAAGGGGGCUAGCGUUGUUCGGAUUUACUGGGCGUAAAGCGCACGUAGGCGGAUCGUUAAGUCGGGGGUGAAAUCCUGGAGCUCAACUCCAGAACUGCCUUCGAUACUGGCGAUCUAGAGUCCGGAAGAGGUGAGUGGAACUCCUAGUGUAGAGGUGGAAUUCGUAGAUAUUAGGAAGAACACCAGUGGCGAAGGCGGCUCACUGGUCCGGUACUGACGCUGAGGUGCGAAAGCGUGGGGAGCAAACAGGAUUAAGAAACCCCGGUG
rnacentral:rRNA from 1 species